rnacentral:sRNA from 1 species
CCGAGCUGAGCCCGCAGGAGAAGGAGGACUCGGUCAUCGUGGUGCUGAUCGCCGAGACUGACUCACAGUACACUUCGGCAGUGACAGAGAACAUCAAGGCCUUGUUCCCCACGGAGAUCCAUUCUGGGCUCCUGGAGGUCAUCUCACCCUCCCCCAACUUUUACCCUGACUUCUCCCGCCUCCGAGAGUCCUUUGGGGACCCCAAGGAGAGAGUCAGGUGGAGGACCAAACAGAACCUCGAUUACUGCUUCCUCAUGAUGUACGCGCAGUCCAAAGGCAUCUACUACGUGCAGCUGGAGGAUGACAUCGUGGCCAAGCCCAACUACCUGAGCACCAUGAAGAACUUCGCACUGCAGCAGCCUUCAGAGGACUGGAUGAUCCUGGAGUUCUCCCAGCUGGGCUUCAUUGCACGUGGGCACUCACUCCUCGCUGGCUGGCAAGAUCCAGAAACUGAAGGACAAAGACUUUGGAAAGCAGGCGCUGCGGAAGGAGCAUGUGAACCCGCCAGCAGAGUGGGAACAUUGAGCACCCGGAGGACAAGCUCUUCAACACGUCUGUGGAGGUGCUGCCCUUCGACGUAAGUUCGGUAGGUGUGGUGUGCACUGAGGCCGGGCCUCCUGCAGCCACCUGCUUCAGCCCUUGAUUCUGCCCCCAGAACCCUCAGUCAGACAAGGAGGCCCUGCAGGAGGGCCGCACCGCCACCCUCCGGUACCCUCGGAGCCCCGACGGCUACCUCCAGAUCGGUGGGUAGGGUUUGGGGGAGAGCGUGGGCUGGGGUUCGGGGACACCCUCUCAGCGCUGCCCUCCCCCAGGCUCCUUCUACAAGGGAGUGGCAGAGGGAGAGGUGGACCCAGCUUUUGGCCCUCUGGAAGCACUGCGCCUCUCGAUCCAGACGGACUCCCCUGUGUGGGUGAUUCUGAGCGAG